rnacentral:rRNA from 1 species
CCUACGGGAGGCAGCAGUGAGGAAUAUUGGUCAAUGGACGAGAGUCUGAACCAGCCAAGUAGCGUGAAGGAUGACUGCCCUACGGGUUGUAAACUUCUUUUAUAUGGGAAUAAAAUGUUCCACGUGUGCGUUUUUGUAUGUACUUUAUGAAUAAGGAUCGGCUAACUCCGUGCCAGCAGCCGCGGUAAUACGGGGGAUCCGAGCGUUAUCCGGAUUUAUUGGGUUUAAAGGGAGCGUAGGUGGUUUGGUAAGUCAGUUGUGAAAGUUUGCGGCUCAACCGUAAAAUUGCAGUUGAUACUGGCAGUCUUGAGUACAGUAGAGGUGGGCGGAUUUCGUGGUGUAGCGGUGAAAUGCUUAGAUAUCACGAAGAACUCCGAUUGCGAAGGCAGCUCACUAGACUGCAACUGACACUGAGGCUCGAAAGUGUGGGUAUCAAACAGGAUUAGAUACCCUAGUAGUC